UACGAGAGGCCUAAACGUUAUUCGGAUUUACUGGGCUUAAAGAGUUCGUAGGCGGCGCGGAAAGUAGGGUGUGAAAGCCCUCGGCUCAACCGAGGAAUUGCGCUCUAAACUACCGUGCUUGAGGAAGCUAGAGGUGAGCGGAACUGAUGGUGGAGCGGUGAAAUGCGUUGAUAUCAUCAGGAACACCGGAGGCGAAGGCGGCUCACUGGGGCUUUUCUGACGCUGAGGAACGAAAGCCAGGGGAGCAAACGGG
rnacentral:rRNA from 1 species